rnacentral:rRNA from 1 species
GACGAACGCUGGCGGCGUGCCUAACACAUGCAAGUCGUGCGAGAAAGUUCCUUCGGGAGCGAGUAAAGCGGCGCACGGGUGAGUAACACGUAGGUAACCUGCCCCCCAGUCUGGAACAACUAGAGGAAACUCUAGCUAAUGCCGGAUGAGACCACGAUCCCUUCGGGGGUUGCGGCCAAAGAUGGCCUCUACUUGUAAGCUAUCGCUGAGGGAUGGGCCUGCGGGCCAUUAGCUUGUUGGUGAGGUAACGGCUCACCAAGGCUGUGAUGGCUAGCUGGUCUGAGAGGAUGACCAGCCACACUGGGACUGAGACACGGCCCAGACUCCUACGGGAGGCAGCAGUGGGGAAUAUUGCGCAAUGGGCGAAAGCCUGACGCAGCGACGCCGCGUGGGUGAUGAAGG